CUAAAUGGUCGUGCAGUUGCGUGAUGAUAUAGCAAAGCUAUAGAUCACGAGGAAAGUCCGGACUCUAUAGAGGUAUGGUGCCGGUUAACCUCCGGCAGAGUAUUAUUACUUUAGGGAAAGUACCACAGAAAAUAUACCGCUGAAUAUGAAUACGAAGUUCAUCGAGUAUUUUCGGUAAGGGUGAAAAGGUACGGUAAGAGCGUACCGGUAAGUUGGUAACAAAUUACGCAUGGUAAACCCCACCAAGAGCAAGAUCAAAUAGGCGUUACAGAACUUGUCAAGUUCCCGGGUUAUCUCUAACCGGCUUGUAAUGCGGGUAGAUCGCUUGAGGUAAACGGUAACGUUUAUCCUAGAUAAAUAACUGCAAUGAAUUUAUAUUCAUACAGAAUCCGGCUUAUAGACCUUAUUGUCAU
rnacentral:RNase_P_RNA from 1 species